UACGUAGGGGGCAAGCGUUGUCCGGAUUCAUUGGGCGUAAAGAGCGUGUAGGCGGCCAGGUAGGUCGGUUGUGAAAACUGGAGGCUCAACCUUCAGAGGUCGACCGAAACCAUCUGGCUAGAGUCCGGGAGAGGAUGGUGGAACUCCCAGUGUAGAGGUGAAAUCCGUAGAUAUUGGGAAGAACACCCGUGGCGAAGGCGGCUCACUGGCCCGAUACUGACGCUGAGGCACGAAAGCGUGGGGAGCAAACAGG
rnacentral:rRNA from 1 species